rnacentral:rRNA from 1 species
CAGCAGCCGCGGGAAUACGAAGGGUGCAAGCGUUAAUCGGAAUUACUGGGCGUAAAGCGUGCGUAGGCGGUUUGUUAAGUCUGUUGUGAAAUUCCCGGGCUCAACCUGGGAAUGGCAAUGGAUACUGGCAAGCUAGAGUGUGUCAGAGGAUGGUGGAAUUCCCGGUGUAGCGGUGAAAUGCGUAGAGAUCGGGAGGAACAUCAGUGGCGAAGGCGGCCAUCUGGGACAACACUGACGCUGAGGCACGAAAGCGUGGGGAGCAAACAGGAUUAGAUACCCGUGUAGUCCCUGUCUCUUAUAC